GGAGAGGUGUCCGAGUGGUUGAAGGAGCACGCCUGGAAAGUGUGUAUAGGCCAAAAGCUUAUCGCGGGUUCGAAUCCCGCCCUCUCCGCCA
rnacentral:tRNA from 1 species